rnacentral:rRNA from 1 species
CCCGGGCUCAACCUGGGAACUGCAUUCGAAACUGGCAGGCUUGAGUCUUGUAGAGGGGGGUAGAAUUCCAGGUGUAGCGGUGAAAUGCGUAGAGAUCUGGAGGAAUACCGGUGGCGAAGGCGGCCCCCUGGACAAAGACUGACGCUCAGGUGCGAAAGCGUGGGGAGCAAACAGGAUUAGAUACCCUGGUAGUCCACGCCGUAAACGAUGUCUACUUGGAGGUUGUGCCCUUGAGGCGUGGCUUCCGGAGCUAACGCGUUAAGUAGACCGCCUGGGGAGUACGGCCGCAAGGUUAAAACUCAAAUGAAUUGACGGGGGCCCGCACAAGCGGUGGAGCAUGUGGUUUAAUUCGAUGCAACGCGAAGAACCUUACCUGGUCUUGACAUCCACGGAAGUUUUCAGAGAUGAGAAUGUGCCUUCGGGAACCGUGAGACAGGUGCUGCAUGGCUGUCGUCAGCUCGUGUUGUGAAAUGUUGGGUUAAGUCCCGCAACGAGCGCAACCCUUAUCCUUUGUUGCCAGCGGUU